CUCUCUCUCUCUCUCUCUCUCUAUCCCUCUAAAUUCUUCUUUCUCCUCCUCUGAGAUUUCUUCCUUCUUUCCCCCUAUUAUUCUACUUUUCUGAUCUACCCUCUUCCUGCCUUCUUCUCCUUUCUUCCAUUUCCCUUCCCUUUCCACUGUUUAGAUUUCUUUUCCGUUCUUCUUCCUUUCUUAGAAUUCUUCUUUCUAUUUUCUUGAUUUUCCAUUUUUCUUUCCCCAAGUUCCAAUUCUACUU
rnacentral:misc_RNA from 1 species